CACGUAGGGUGCGAGCGUUGUCCGGAAUUAUUGGGCGUAAAGAGCUCGUAGGCGGUGUGUCGCGUCGGCCGUGAAAACCUGCAGCUUAACUGUGGGCUUGCGGUCGAUACGGGCAUCACUGGAGUUCGGCAGGGGAGAGUGGAAUUCCUGGUGUAGCGGUGAAAUGCGCAGAUAUCAGGAGGAACACCAGCGGCGAAGGCGGCGCUCUGGGCCGGUACUGACACUGAGGAGCGAAAGCGUGGGUAGCAAACAGG
rnacentral:rRNA from 1 species